UACGUAGGGUGCAAGCGUUGUCCGGAAUUAUUGGGCGUAAAGAGCUCGUAGGCGGUUUGUCGCGUCUGCUGUGAAAACCCGAGGCUCAACCUCGGGCCUGCAGUGGGUACGGGCAGACUAGAGUGCGGUAGGGGAGAUUGGAAUUCCUGGUGUAGCGGUGGAAUGCGCAGAUAUCAGGAGGAACACCAAUGGCGAAGGCAGAUCUCUGGGCCGUAACUGACGCUGGAGGAGCGAAAGCGUGGGGAGCGAACAGG
rnacentral:rRNA from 1 species